rnacentral:lncRNA from 10 species
GGGGCGUUCCUUGCAGCGGCGGGGCCUGCCAGGCCCUCCGCGGCCGCCGCCACUCUCAAACCCCCCGACUGCUCCUGGGUCCCUCCCAGACGCCGUAGUCGCUACACGUCACUUCCGGGGGAGGGGCUGCGACCCUAAGGGGUGUCGUGAGCCGCGUCUGCCAGCAAACCCGGGUUUGGUGUGGCCGGGGGAUGUAGCUCGGGCGCCUCCUGGAGUCGUCUCGCCGCUCUCCGUCGCGUUCGGUGCGGUUGCUUCCAGGUCCCUGAGGCGCCCGUCCGGAACCCGCCAGGACCCAAGCUGCCGCCUGGGCCGGGACCUCGGACUCCUCAAAGGCGCGCCACUUUCUCCUCGGUUGGAGGGAAGAGGUGGCGCUCGCAGAGCAACCUGCGGGGGACCACUUCUGUUGGUGCUAAGCUUUGGGGAGAGUCUCCUCCCUCCUGUGUCCCUCGUCCUCCUUACCACUCGCUGUUAGAAGUUGGGGCCGUCACAGCUUUCUCAUCGAAGUGCCAGAUCCCAGGACACUACAAACGCUUGAUAAAUACUAAAUUAGCACUGUGGCUUUCUAGCCUGGGGACUGACAAAUGGAAGCGCUGGAGUCGUGGGAAAAGCUUGCCCUGACGAUGGAGGCAGCGACCAGAAAUCCAUUCGUGGCUCUACCCCUCACUAACUCACCAAUUUUAAGCAACCUUAACCUCUCUAAAACAGUCAUCAUUUAUAAGGUGGAGAGAACCCAAUCUUAGAGUUGUUGUAAUGAUUAAAGAAAAUAAGGUGCAUGAAACACCUAGCAAGA